rnacentral:tRNA from 1 species
AAGGCUUUAAGUUAAUUAAACUAUUAGCCUUCAAAGCUGGAAAUAAAUAAAUAAAUUUAAGCCUUA